GUCCACGCCCUAAACGAUGUAAACUGGUUGUCGGGGAAGUUAUUCCUUGGUAACGAAGCUAACGCGUGAAGUUGACCGCCUGGGGAGUACGGCCGCAAGGUUAAAACUCAAAGGAAUUGACGGGGACCCGCACAAGCGGUGGAUUAUGUGGAUUAAUUCGAUGCAACGCGAAAAACCUUACCUACCCUUGACAUGCUAGGAAGCUCGCAGAGAUGUGAGUGUGCCCGAAAGGGAACCUAGACACAGGUGCUGCAUGGCUGUAGU
rnacentral:rRNA from 1 species